rnacentral:rRNA from 1 species
UUGGAGGGCAAGUCUGGUGCCAGCAGCCGCGGUAAUUCCAGCUCCAAUAGCGUAUAUUAAAGUUGCUGCAGUUAAAAAGCUCGUAGUUGAAUUUCGGGACCAAUAUGUCGGUCGUGCCUCGGUACGUACUGGCAUCGUUGGUUUCUCCCUUCUGACGAACCAUGAUGUCAUUCAUUUGGUGUCGUGGGGAAUCAGGACUGUUACUUUGAAAAAAAUUAGAGUGUUUAAAGCAGGCUCACGCUUGAAUACAUUAGCAUGGAAUAAUGAAAUAGGACGUUUGAUUCUAUUUUGUUGGUUUCUAGGAUCGACGUAAUGAUUAAUAGGGAUAGUUGGGGGCAUUAGUAUUCAAUUGUCAGAGGUGAAAUUCUUGGAUUUAUUGAAGACUAACUACUGCGAAAGCAUUUGCCAAGGAUGUUUUCAUUAAUCAAGAACGAAAGUUAGGGGAUCGAAGACGAUCAGAUACCGUCGUAGUCUUAACCAUAAACUAUGCCGACUAGGGAUCGGAUGAUGUUAAUUUUUUAAUGACUCAUUCGGCACCUUACGGGAAAC